AAAGCCCCGGGCCCACCUGGGAAUUGCAUUUUGAACCGGCCUGGCUAAGUCCUGAAGAGGGUGGUAGAAUUUCCAGGGUAGCGGUGAAAUGCGUAGAUAUUGGAAGGAAUACCGGUGGCGAAGGCGGCCCCCUUGUCAGAGANCUGACGCUGAGGUACGAAAGCGUGAGGAGCAAACAGGAUUAGAUACCCUGGUAGUCCACGCCGUAAACGAUGUCAACUAGUUGUUCGUGUCAUUAAGACGUGAGUAACGCAGCUAACGCACUAAGUUGACCGCCUGGGGAGUACGGCCGCAAGGUUAAAACUCAAAUGAAUUGACGGGGGCCCGCACAAGCGGUGGAGCAUGUGGUUUAAUUCGAUGCAACGCGAAGAACCUUACCAUCCCUUGACAUCCAGUGAAUUUUUCAGAGAUGAAUUAGAGCCUUCGGGAACACUGAGACAGGUGCUGCAUGGCUGUCGUCAGCUCGUGUUGUGAGAUGUUGGGUUAAGUCCCGCAACGAGCGCAACCCUUAUCCUUAGUUGCCAGCACGUAAAGGUGGGAACUCCAGGGAGACUGCCGGUGAUAAACCGGAGGAAGGUGGGGACGACGUCAAGUCAUCAUGGCCCUUACGAGUAGGGCUACACACGUGCUACAAUGGCGUAUACAGAGGGCUGCCAACCAGCGAUGGUGAGCGAAUCCCACAAAGUACGUCGUAGUCCGGAUUGGAGUCUGCAACUCGACUCCAUGAAGUCGGAAUCGCUAGUAAUCGUAGAUCAGAAUGCUACGGUGAAUACGUUCCCGGGCCUUGUACACACCGCCCGUCACACCAUGGGAGUGGGUUGCUCCAGAAGUAGCUAGUCUAACCUUCGGGGGGACGGUACCACGGAGG
rnacentral:rRNA from 1 species